GAUUGCCUUGCUUUCUCACUGGAGGGAAUAUUUGCAGGCAUGUAACAUAGAAAAGGUGCUUGUUUUGCUCAUAACUGGAUGAAUUAAAGGAAAUUAGGUGAGUAAUAGAGAGAAUUUGUGGCGUGAUUAUGUGGAAUAAAUUCACUUCCAAUUUUCAGUUUGGUCCAACAGCGUAUUGCCCUGGAACAGUUUUCAAGAAUGUAUCACCUGAAUUGGUGAGGGAUUUCUUCUGGGAUGAUGAAUUCAGAUCCAGCAGGGACAAAAUGCUCUUUUACAGCAGGACUCGUAUUCCUCAAACUGGUUCCCGUGAGACUGCAGAUAUUUCAGGAUAGCCCAUCUCCGACCAUCAAUAUUUUAUUGCAUCAGUUUAAAUUUUAAAAGCACCAAGGGAAGUUAAAAAAGGAAAAGUUCUUUGCAUGCGGCAAGAGAUAUUAUCAUAAUAUUUUUCAUCCAAGGCAAGCAAGAUAGGAGCACGGAAGAGAUUUACCAGCUCAUCAUCAACCUGGAGUCUUGGACUAUAAACAGCCAUUGAGAUUAAUCGAUAAAGCAGCAGCAGCAAGGCAGAGAUGGUUCCUUUUCCUUCUCUCCGGAAAAAGAAUCAUAUCACGGGACAGCUAACAACUGACACAGGCGGCUACGAGUUCAGACAAUCGAUGUUGACCGCCUUAGAAGACAGGUGGGGAGUUGAGAUAUCAAACAUCUCAUCACCGCCAGAUCACACGUUUGUUUCAUCAACAAACUAACAAACUUGUGCAUGAAUCAAUACAACAUCCAACUUCAUGCAAUCAUGUUAAUACAGUGAUCUAAUUCAUUUGGAUCAAAAUAUAAACUCAAAUGAGAUUUAGAGAGAGGGAGAAAUAAAUAAUCAUAAUUAUAAUAGUAGAAGAUUAAGACAACCAAGAGUUAAGGUAACAAUAUAGGCAUCUCCAAUCUCACAUAAGUUUUAAAACUUGUUAAAGACAAACAAACCUUAAGUUUUUUUAAAAAUGCAAAGUAUAUAAUCAUAAAAAACACAACCGUGGUGUUCUAUGCGGAUAUCUGCAGUCUCAUCCACUCUCACCAACCAAGUUGGUUCUGCAACAUCUCAGACUCCAGAGCAAGCCAAGAACAUGAUACAUUCUCCAGAAAAAAUGCAGCUCCAUGACACAAAGCAAGCAUCAUCACCACAUUAAGCUUUUUUUAACUUGGAAAUAUCAGUCCCCUUCAUU